AUUAAUACUUGUUUUUACCAAAAGAAAAGAAAAAACAAAAGGAAAUUCUCUCUCUUGGUUUACACCAGCGAGGUCUCUUUUUCCAUCUGUGCAGUGGUCAUGACGAGACGAAAACGACGCCACGCCCCUUAUACAACGGACGAUUCUCGCCGCCGUUUUCCACCACCCGAAGCCCAACCCCAACCCCGUAUACACCCGUCAGACUUAAUUGAUGAUCGGGAAGCGGCUCAGCAACGCGAGAUUGAAAAACUGCUCCAGGAAAACCGCAGUCUAGCGGGCGCGCACGUCUCUCUUAACCAGGAGCUCUCCGCCGUCCAGCACGAGCUCCGUCUUCUCUCUUCCACAGCCGCAACCGUCAAGACCGAAAGGGAUGCUGAGGUCCGUGAGGUUUACGACGAGGCACGGAAGAAGGAGUCUGAUGUUCGUAUACUCGAUGAGCUUAGAGUAGAGUUGGCUCGGGUUAGGAGCGAUAUUCAGAACCUAGUUGACGACCGUAAAGAGCUCACUGCCAAAUUGCAGAACAUGGAGAAAGAUCUCGUCAAGGUUGGUUCCGAGUUACAGCAGUUUCCCGUAAUCAAGGCUGAAAUUGAGUCCAUGCAUAAGGAAGUUCAACGAGGAAGAGCUGCUAUCGACUAUGAAAAAAAGAUGCACACCAGCAACCUUGAAUAUAGUCAAGCAAUGGAGAAACAUAAGAUUACUCUGGCUUCUGAAAUUGAGAAACUACAUGCCGAGCUUGCAAAUGCAGAGAAGAGGGCAAGGGCAGCAGCAGCUGCAGCGGCUCCAAGUAAUUUAAACCGCCAGAUUUCUGCAGCAACUCCAAAUUUUACAUAUUCUGCCAAUUAUGGAAAUCCUGAAACAGGAUAUAGAGAGAAUCUGUACCCUGCGCCUUAUGCUGUACAUCAGUAAUGAGAUGUAAUGCUGCAUGGGAUCUUAAGUAUUUGUUGUUUGCCUGUUGUUCCUUCAAUGCUUUAAAAAAUUCAGAUUCCUCUCUGCCAUGUUCAGGUCAGUGCUGAUGCAAAAACCCAAUAUGUUGGUGGAGCCAUGCCUUAUGUACAUCACUAGUUGGUGGUUUGAAAGUGAAAAACUCGUGCCGGAUGACAAGCAGAUGUAAAUGUGUCAAACUUAGGGAUCUUUUAUUUCAUGAGAGAAGUGGUUUCUGGAGGAAGCACAGAUGAAAUGAUUUUUCUUGGUGGUGAUGAGACUGACAUUUGUCUUGAGUGUAGUCUCAGAAUUCAGAUAAUUAAUGACUGUUGUGGUUAUUUGUGCAUAUGUCUAUUUAGUGGAUUGAAGUUAGUUGGAGCCAUGAUUGGAUCCUGAAUUUAAAAAUGUGGGGUUUUCAAAAUUAAUUAAGUUGAAGCUGCAAGUGA